UCCUACGGGAGGCAGCAGUGGGGAAUAUUGGACAAUGGGCGAAAGCCUGAUCCAGCAAUGCCGCGUGGGUGAAGAAGGUCUUCGGAUUGUAAAGCCCUUUCGACGGGGACGAUGAUGACGGUACCCGUAGAAGAAGCCCCGGCUAACUUCGUGCCAGCAGCCGCGGUAAUACGAAGGGGGCUAGCGUUGCUCGGAUUGACUGGGCGUAAAGGGCGCGUAGGCGGUUUGUACAGUCAGGCGUGAAAUUCCUGGGCUCAACCUGGGGGCUGCGUUUGAUACGUAUGGACUUGAGUUCGGAAGAGGGUCGUGGAAUUCCCAGUGUAGAGGUGAAAUUCGUAGAUAUUGGGAAGAACACCGGUGGCGAAGGCGGCGACCUGGUCCGAUACUGACGCUGAGGCGCGAAAGCGUGGGGAGCAAACAGGAUUAGAUACCCCGGUAGA
rnacentral:rRNA from 1 species